rfam:Saprolegnia parasitica CBS 223.65 unplaced genomic scaffold supercont2.44, whole genome shotgun sequence.
CUCGCAGGGUCACGCUCAUCCGCACCAAUCUUUCGCCUUUUACUAAAGAUUGCCGUGGGCAUGUCUCAUACAAUGCGACUUCACAAUUUAUGACCUCCCUCUGGGAGGA